UUUGCAAAUGCUGCCGGCAUCUUCGGGAACUUGAGAAGGUUGCGUGGCAGCAGUUACGGGAACGCAAGAUCAACCGCGAUUCUUCUUUGCUUUGCAUACUGACGCGCUGCAUUCUCGGCGUCCUUACAUAUCCUGGCUAAAUUGGUGUGUGUAUACGUUUAAGAGCGAAGGCGUUUAAGAGGGGUGGUAAUGCUUAAUGGGUGCAUAGAGAAAUCCUAUGCAGAUCUGUUAAGAGAUUAACCAUGGUUGAUGUCAAAUCCAGACUGACCCAAGAGGAGAAAAAAGUGCUACUGCAGUUAUUGGAGUGUGAUAACCUGAGCCUCCUCUUCAAGGCAACUGUGCAUGGCUUCACUGCUAGCGCAUUUCAUAACAUAUGCAAUCAACAAGGCCCCACUGUAGCUGUGGCAUACAAUUCAAGUGGCUACAUUUUCGGAGGCUUUUCUGCUGAGAGUUAUACUUCACGUGGGACAUAUGUAUAUGAUGACAAAAGUUUUCUCUUUAGAUUGAAAGGGAGUGAGAAGGAGCCUAGCCCACUAAAAUUCCCAUUCAAAUCUGCAAAUCAGGCUGUAUAUGACAAUUCUGCCUCAGGCCCUAACUUUGGAGCUGGAGCACUUGUACUCAUGCAUCAAAAUACUGCAACAGUCUUUGCAAAUGCUAAUAUUGCCAACUAUGCAUUCCAUGCAGAGGACUUGUUUGGAAAUGGUGGGGCUCUUUUGGAAUGUGAAGUUUAUCGAGUUGAAGGUGUGGGUGCUCUGCUGCAAAAUCCAUACAGGAUGAUUGAAUGGACAGCUGGGGGAAAAGAAAAGCUGAUGAAUGAAAUAAGGAAUUUCAAACCCUCCUGGAAUUCAGUGCCAAAGUUUCGCAUUCUGUUCCUUGGACCAGUUGGAGCAGGGAAGUCCAGUUUUUUCAACUCCGUGAAUUCUGUUUAUCAAGGCUAUGUGACAAGUAAUGCCAUAGCAGGUUCAGAUUCCACAAGUGUGACUAUGCAGUAUAGGAACUAUGAAGUUCAAAGUGAAGAUGGGAAGCCAGUGCCUAUUAUCUUCUGUGACAGCAUGGGAUUAGAAGAAAAGGAAGGAACUGGUCUGAACAUUGGUGAUGUGCCCAACAUUUUAAAAGGCCACAUUCCAGAUCGAUACCAGUUUAAUCCAUGUGCUGUUAUUCAGCCAAAUGCUCCAGGCUAUGUCAGGAACCCAUCUUUGAAAGACCAGAUUCACUGUGUUGUGCUUAUUAUUGAUGGGUCUACAGUAGAGAUUCUGUCUGACAAGAUGGAACAAAAGUUGAGACAGAUUCGGAAAGAAACCAAAAUCCUAGACAUCCCGGUGCUUGCUGUACUAACCAAAGUUGAUGCAAUUUGCUCUUUUCUUGAGGAAGAUGUUUCAGAUGUGUACAGAAGCAAAGCAGUUGUGAAGCAGAUGCAGUUAUUUCAAGAAAAACUUGGCAUUCCUCUGAAUCAAAUAGUUCCUGUUAAGAAUUAUUCUCAUGAACUAGAUCUCAAGAAUGAUAUUGAUAUCCUCAUACUCACAGCAGUGAGGCACAUGUUACGCUUAGCGAAAGGCUAUUUUUCUAACUUACCUACUGUUAAGGAAAAUUCCUAAUGUUCAGUUUUAUAUGUUUAUUGAUAGGUAUUGAUAGUUUACUGAAUGUAGGCUGAUUGCUAUCUGUGGUUUUUGCAUUUCAGUGUAAUUAACCAAGUAGAAGAUACACACCUAAGCAUUAAAAGCAGAAUACUUUGGUUAACCAUAGAUACUUUUGUUUAGUAAGUUUAGAUACUUUUGUUUCACUUUUUCUGCAUUUCUUACUUGGAACAAUACUAUUUGCAUAUGCUGAUGCUGUUUCACAUGCUUAUAUUCAUAUUUAUCUAAUAAAUCAUCUGUUUUGGUUUUACUCAUGAUCCCUUUAUAAUUUUUGCCCUAUUUUUUGAGUAAGAACUGCUGCAUGUGUGUGAGGGAAUUUAACCACAUUACUGCAGGGGGAGAAUACAUUCUGCAACUAUUUCUCAUUCAUCAGUGCAACUGGAUUCAUCAGUGGCAGGAGUUGUAGUAUAGCUUCCAAACAGUUCCUGUUGAACUACUGCAAAUGGCAACAGAAUCCGAAGGCAGAGUGACUCAAAAACAUGUCACUGUUGUAUAAAUUUUCAGUUUCCUGCUACCUUUCACUGACUGCCAGAACAUUGACAACAGAACUGCAUGGACAUAGUUGACUCUUUGCAGCAAAAAGAUUCCAUUGACCUGAAUGGACUUGAAGCUUAACAUCAGAUCGAAGAACUACCACUAGGCUAAUCUCAAGGAAUGUCUUUUACAGAUUUGCUGCUCAUAAAACCCAAUUCAUCCAGCCAUUACCAGCUGUAUAACUUCUUUUUCCUACUUUCUAGAGCUCAGGGAGAGAAAAGGCUUAAUAUUUAACAACUCCAUGAUAUCAUCAUGGUUUGUAUAAAAUACUGAAAACAGAUGCUAGAAAGCCAGCAGGUGAAGUUUCUGUUUCUGUGCAAAUAUCUUGAUUUUACCCACUACUUGUCAGAAUGCAGAGAAACUCUACAGAGCUAAACAGAUACUUAUGAACUAGGAAACAUGGGGCUGAGGAAAAAACAAAAACAAGUGUACCAAGCAUAUUAAAGUAUGUCUAGAAAUGA